GAUGAACGCUAGCUACAGGCUUAACACAUGCAAGUCGAGGGACCGGCGCACGGGUGAGUAACACGUAUCCAACCUGCCCUUUACUCGGGGCUAGCCUUUCGAAAGAAAGAUUAAUACCCGAUAUAAAGGAUGGGGAUGCGUUCCAUUAGGUUGUUGGUGAGGUAACGGCUCACCAAGCCUUCGAUGGCUAGGGGUUCUGAGAGGAAGGUCACUCACAUUGGAACGGGGGCCCGGUCCAGACGCCUGCCGGAGGUAGCAGUUAUGAAUAUGGGUCAAUGGGCGCGAGCCUGAACCAGCCAAGUAGCGUGAAGGAUGAAGGCUUAUGGGUCGUAAACUUCUUGUAUAUAAGAAUAGGUAUUAAAUGAAUAAGGAUCGGCUAACUCCGUGCCAGCAGCCGCGGUAAUAC
rnacentral:rRNA from 1 species